ensembl:snRNA U5 U5 spliceosomal RNA
AUACUCUGGUUUCUCUUCAGAUCGCACAAAUCUUUCGCCUUUUACUAAAGAUUUCCGUGGAGAGGAACAAACCUGAGUUCUAGCUCAAUUUUUGGUGCCCUGUUAUUUACCAGGGU